UUAAGUUCAGCGGGUAUCCCUACCUGAUCCGAGGUCAACCGGUAAAAAUUGGUCUUGACCAGCGCCGCCGGGCCUUGAAGCGGUAUAGAAUUCCCAUACGCUCGGGCACCAAAACGGACGCCGCCACUGCCUUUGAGGCCCGUCCACGGGGGACGAGGCCCAACACACAAGCCGCGCUUGAAGGUUGCAAUGACGCUCGG
rnacentral:misc_RNA from 1 species